AGCCUUUAGCUAAACAAGUAUUAAAGGUCCUGCCUGCCCAGUGAUUUUUUUAAACGGCCGCGGUAUUCUAACCGUGCAAAGGUAGCGCAAUCACUUGUCUUUUAAAUAAAGACCUGUAUGAACGGCUAAAUGAGGAUAAGCCUGUCUCUUAUAACCAAUCAGUGAAACUGAUCUUCCAGUACAAAAGCUGGAAUAACCACAUAAGACGAGAAGACCCUGUGGAGCUUAAAACUAAACCACUAAACAGACACACGACUACCUUAGUGUGCGUUUUCAGUUGGGGCGACUUCGGAACAAAAACCAACUUCCGAGCACAGAACCACAACCUCUAACUAAGGCCAACAAGCCAAAGCACCCACACAGACCCGGCCUUGCCGAUCAACGAACCAAGUUACCCCAGGGAUAACAGCGCAAUCUUCUUCGAGAGCCCCUAUCAACAAGAAGGUUUACGACCUCGAUGUUGGAUCAGGACACCCAAAUGGUGCAGCCGCUAUUAAAGGUUCGUUUGUUCAACGAUUAACAGUCCUACGUGAUCUGAGU
rnacentral:rRNA from 1 species